UUAGCCCAAAUGAUGGCAAAUCCUCCUAUUCACUAUCACUAGUAUGGUCACUAAUAAUGUCCCCAUCAUCUUGUAUGAUCAUUUCCUAUUUAUCGGAGCACUAGGAUACAAUAUGUCUAAUUCCUAGGCACUUGAAACAUUUGACAGUACUCUAUCUAGCAGUAGGGGCUUUAGGGUUUCUUGUUGGGUUGGUGGCUAGUGUCUUGUCCUUCGUUUCCUCAUUCAACUUGUUCUCUCCCCUUUGAGGCCACCUAGAAUUAUAUUGAGGGCUAAUAAUGGCAGUCCCUUGUGUAGUUCCUCUGCUCUUUAAUUGUCUCUCAAUCUUGGUGGCCUUGCAUACCAUCUUUUUCAUAUCAAUAUAGUUUUGU
rnacentral:lncRNA from 1 species